GCUACUUUUCCCUUAAAAUUUGGAUCGUUUACUAGAGAGUUCUCUUUCUCUAUCUCUAUAGUAUUGCGAAGGUUGAAGUUGUUACAAUUGAAGAGGGUAAUGAGGCCGUCAAGCUGUGGCUGGGGAAUGUCAAUCUGCAUCUAUGAAAUUUUGUACAUGUAGGAGUCUGUUCAAGAGCUUUAUUUGCCAGAACAUACAUUUUCCGCGAGGAUGUUGCUCGAAUACUGUAUAUUCAUUUCGAAUGUCUCACUCCCAUCAAACACAUCGCUGGC
rnacentral:misc_RNA from 1 species